rnacentral:lncRNA from 1 species
AAAUAAAUGGCCGUAAUAUUUAUUUUUAUUAUCCCUUUCAGUUGUUAAUUUUAUUAAUUUGAUUUCUAAUUCAAAUCUACUGUGUUAGCCUGUAUGUUUCCUAGAUAUUUUUGUCUCUAGUUUUUCAGAGCAGUGCCUUGCUGACAACCCAUUUCAAACAGUCCAGUAUUCUACCACUACAUCCAUCUUGCAAAAUAAUUACUACAUUCUUGGAAAUAGACUGAACCAUCUGAAUGAACGAUCAAGUGAAACUUGAGGACUGGGUUGGAAAGUAGUGGGGUGAUGACAGAAAAAGGCAGUGGUCUUCCACCUCGAUAAACUCAAACACAAGUAGUUUGCCUGAGGGAUCCCGUGGUGAGUCACUGGUACAGGUCUCCCUGCCCAGGACCCUUUUGGCUACUAAGGAUGUUGCUUCAGUCUUCUUGGGAUCGCCCAGGACAUGAAGAACACUCAUGCAUACUUGUUGAAUACUCCUACAGAAAAGCCUGCCUGCAUAUGAAAGAGAGGAAUCCUUUCCACCAACUGAUUUAAGUAUGGCCUCAAAUGUAGCAGUCAAAUCACUCCUCUGCCACAGGAACCUGGACAGAAUUUGAAAGAAAAUUUAAGAUAUGUUAAAAUGAUAUUGUUGUAGCUAUUUUAAAGAAGAUUUUCUUGCUCUGGUCCAUUUUGUCUUUGGCAGUUAUAAGUUCUUUCAGACUGGA